UAAGCUAGUGAGACUUAUGGCUUUUAGUUAUACCUUUGUUGGGAUUUUUUUUCUUUUCAUAGUCAUGCUGCUAAACCCAUGUAAUCCAACUUAAUUAUUUAGAUUUAACAGCAUACCUCUAAAAUCUGAUUUGAAGGACAAUUGCAUCCUGGUUUUUGUCCGUUCAAUGUCUCCACUUAAAAAAUGCACCGUGAAACUCCUUUUGCAUCUGCCUAGUUGGUUUAUCCAUAAACAAGUGGUAGGUUAGGGCUGAGGCUCAUGGAUUUCUUACGUAUGUCUUUGAGGCAACAUUAAUAUCGGAAAGAUAUUGGGUCCUUUCCUACAUCGAACAUCCCCUUUGUUUCACGCCUUUUCUCUGAGGCUAUUGAAUUGCAUUUGGUUCUUUAGGUCAUGCAUCUUUCAUUACAAUGUUUGAACCUUGAUCAAUCUUUUCUUAGCAAUCAGCAUCGAUAAUUUAUUCUUUCAUAACGGCAUUCAACAUUCCUAUGCAUUUCAGUGGAAGGUGGUUGUUUUCUAGUUUUCUUCUUUAUACUUUCCCCUUAGUGAGAUCAAAUUAUUUAGGCUGUUUGUUUCCACUUUCUUUAAGCAAAAAGUUGUUUAUCAACUUUCCUGCCGAUAGGAAAGAAAUUUUGGUUAGAUUUGAAAAUUUGACACAAACUUUGAUGGUCGCAAGUGACUCUAUAGAUUGGCUUUAAUAUAUUUUUUAAGGAUAGGUAGUGCUGUCUGAAAUAAAUGUGAAAUCUCAAAUGCUAGAAAGCAUAAAGUCUUAAAAGUAAAUGUUACUAUUCAGGCCGAGAUUGAGAAAGUGAAGAAGAGAAGGGAAGAGACAGCCCGUGAAAAGGCUCGGCAUGAGGAGUUAAUGGUAUGUUUGGUGCAGUCAGCGAAGCAUGUUUUUUUUUUGGUUGAAUUAGUGAUGGGUGUGAAACUCUACAGGUUUUACUGGUACAGAGAGAUUAUUUCUAUAUUUCUGCUUUCUGCAGGCAAUGCUAGCCGAAAGGUGUGCUCAAGCAGAGAUUCAAGGUUGAGAGAAGAAAGAAGAGGAGGUAUGGUUACCGGUUGUUCUGUAUUUCAAGUUCCCCAUCUCAUGCGAACUAGUCUUCAGAGGCAUCAUUUUGACAAUUGUUUUUCUCAAUAUGGUGAGUCUUUCGCACAUUUUCUCUUGCAGUUUCUUUUUUGCUCAAAGCAAAGUCAGGUCAGAGAUCAGAUUGCCUGAAGGGCGUGCACAAGCAGCUGAUGUUCAAUCUAACCUCAAUGGUUCAAAUGAUCUGGAUAUUAAAUUAAAUGAACCUCACGUGGUCUUUGAGGUGUCUAUUUUAUUCUAAUAUUAAACUGCCUAUUCUGACAGACAUUGUGGUACUUUGCUUUCCUACUUGUGUUUUCUUUUCUUUGAAAAGCUAAAUGAUCUGUUAUCUAUGCAAGUUCUAUGUAAAUUUAUGAAAAGAGGGUACGCUAAUCAGAAAAGGAGAGUCUCUCUUUUUUUAAUACAAGCUCAACUUCUGUAAAGCGUAUAACUGGUUCAUGCAUCUAAUUGCUUGGUUCUUAAAAGAUAGAACUUUCCCCACCCUCGAAACAAGUCUAGAAAUUGGAGGAGGAAUGGGACAUAACAGGUUUCUCUCCUUUUUGUCAUUGAUAAAGCAAAUGCUGUUCAAAGCCCCGAGCUACUUGUUGACGUACAGAGCUUAUGCCUCCUGCAUUCAAAAAAUUGCAGCUGUGGAUCGAGGUGUCGACUCAACAAAGAGCAAUAAUUUGAUCCCUGAUUUACUAGUUCACUUGCUCUUUUAUAUAAGUUAAAUAUCUUUUACCUUGACCUUGUCGACAAGACUAAGGACACUACGCAUGACCUUNNNNNNNNNNNNNNNNNNNNNNNNNNNNNNNNNNNNNNNNNNNNNNNNNNNNNNNNNNNNNNNNNNNNNNNNNNNNNNNNNNNNNNNNNNNNNNNNNNNNNNNNNNNNNNNNNNNNNNNNNNNNNNNNNNNNNNNNNNNNNNNNNNNNNNNNNNNNNNNNNNNNNNNNNNNNNNNNNNNNNNNNNNNNNNNNNNNNNNNNNNNNNNNNNNNNNNNNNNNNNNNNNNNNNNNNNNNNNNNNNNNNNNNNNNNNNNNNNNNNNNNNNNNNNNNNNNNNNNNNNNNNNNNNNNNNNNNNNNNNNNNNNNNNNNNNNNNNNNNNNNNNNNNNNNNNNNNNNNNNNNNNNNNNNNNNNNNNNNNNNNNNNNNNNNNNNNNNNNNNNNNNNNNNNNNNNNNNNNNNNNNNNNNNNNNNNNNNNNNNNNNNNNNNNNNNNNNNNNNNNNNNNNNNNNNNNNNNNNNNNNNNNNNNNNNNNNNNNNNNNNNNNNNNNNNNNNNNNNNNNNNNNNNNNNNNNNNNNNNNNNNNNNNNNNNUCUUCUGAUGUCGAGGAGGGUCCAGGUGAGGGUGCUCCAUCUUCGAUGGAUAAAGAAGAUUUCCGGAUAUUUAACAACUUAAAGGUUACAAAUCCAAAUGCACUUUUGAAGAAAAUGAAAAAAAAAAAAAAGAAGGGGGGGGGGUUGUGUUUGCAUGUUUAUUUCAACUUAAAAUGUCAUCGAUACAGUCGACGAGAUUUUUCUUUUUCUAUGGAAACCAGAGGUGAACACUCACGACUUGUUUAGAAUCUUUUCUGACACUGGGAAUUGCCAAUGGGAUGUGGAUUCCAACUUCUAAGCUUGAACUGGUUGUGUGAUGACCGCUGGGAGAUCGAAUUUUGCAUUAUGGCAUGUUCAUUUAACGGUGGUAAUGCUCGUUGAACAACCAUUUCACUUACUAGCUCCUAGUGGUAUGUUUUUUUCCUUAGCCAAGCUAUUUUAGAAUUGCGGAUUGGAAAUCGAUACAGCUUGUGUUUACUUGCGUUAAAUGUACAAUGUUAUUGAUAUUUUGCUUCCUAGGAAUACGCGAGGCAGCUGCCCUUUAGUUAUCCUUCAUCGAUUUGACAAUUAAACCGGCUAUUUUCAUGAAGCAAUGACAUGUAAACGUUGAUAUCCUACUUUCAUUAAUAGCCUGUCCCUAGAUCUUCUGGUACUCUUUUCAAGAUAAUUAAAGUGAGCUUGUUCCGGGUGAUUUGCCUUUACUGUGGCUUGAGGUGAUUGGCGAUGGUGUUGUGCGGUGGUGGCGGUGGUGGUCGUUGAUCACGUUGAUCAGAGUCACAGGUUGUUGGUAGCAAUGGCCUGAGUUAAUCCUGGGUUGCUUUAGUUUAGGUGUAUAUUUGUGUAAAGUUUUAGUAACCAGAUUGUUAAGCUUUAGUAAUUUGGUUAUUAGGCUUGAUAUGAGGUAAGUCCGGGAAUAAUGAGCAUGGGGAAGGAUAUUGUAGACGUCUUGAGAUGGAUAUUAGUAAACAUGGGCUUGUUUUGAUUAAAGCAUAAUGCAUUCAAUGUCAAUCUUUGCUCCCCUAUGUUCACAAUAUUAGUCUUGGAUCUGCCAAAAGGAUAACGCAAAACCUCAUCGACCGACACUUGACCUUUUUCUUUAUUCAGAGCGUGCAUCAUGAUGCUAAACGAAAAGCAAGUUGCAGUCUUAUUCACGUCUUCAAUGCAACCGUGAAGUCAAAAUUAAGUCCUGAUUCGGGAAACGACUUGACUACAUUUCUGCACCAAGGAUUCCUUACUGUUACCUCGAACGAUCAUAGCUCUUUUGAAAGCAUUACCUAUGGUGGAUUGAUUAGUAUCAUCAUCAUUCCAAUGCUUCAAAUCCUUCCGGCGAUUCAAACCUCAAUGAGAAGUAAGUUUUGGGAAUCUUGAAAUAAAUAUUGUUAAUAAUUGGUUGGGAGGAACCGAACCUUCAUCAUUUUCUUCGUCCGAUUUCAUGUUUGGAUGGGGUCUUUGCCUUGUCGGUUUGGGUCAGCUGCGUCUACGCCCACUAGGCUGAGGCGCCACCCUUUAGCUUGUAUGUUAGCAAUUUGACUCAGUCGUCAUUUUCAAUCUCCAUGGCAUCGAAGAAUUUCUCAACUUCCCGGAGCCAAUCCAAAAUGUCCUUUCGAUUGAUAUUGCUUGAGGUCUAGUCAACAUCCCCCGUUCUGAUGGCCUCCUUGAAUUAGCCCAUUUAGGAACUCGACAUAGGCUUGUUGCCUCUGUCGGAGUUUUGUCCCACAUUCCAUAAAGUACUUUCGAGACUCGAGCGGCCUGAGCACAUUUAGUCGAAAGAUUACUAGGUAUGGGUUGGUAAACAAACACUGGAUGACGACAAGUAAGUCCUAAAGCCUCCAUUCGGUUUGCUAUGCAAAUUGGUAGAACCCAGCCCAUGUAAUAGGCUCGUUUUCACGGCGCUCAAUUGCGGGGAGAUUAUCAUUGAUGUUAUUAGUCAUUGUCACAGAAGAAACCUACUCAGCUACCAUAUGAUGCAGAGGAAGAUAUGCUUGGAAAAAGGAUUUCAAAAGGUAGUGUUUAUUUUCAAUAAUGAAGUGUGGAUUGCAAUGUUUUAAGUGAGUAUUUGUAAGGAGGUCGCCCUUUAAGAAAUAAUUAUAAUUCAAAUAACGAAAUUAUGGAAAAAUAUUAGUAAAGGAGAAAGUCUACAAAACACGUCUUGAACAUCUGCAAAAUAUGUCCGAAAUCUUUGACGGUCCGGAAAUCAAGGAAGACGUGAAUUUGAGAUCAAAUAUUGCCUAAAUCGGUAUAGCCCGUUCGCAACUUCGAAGCUCCCACAAUCUUCUUUGAUUUGUGAGACUGUCUACUCCUAUGGUGCUCGAAGAUUUCUGUAUAAGCAUUUGCCUGUUGUUCCACGUCACUGCCUCAUUUCAAAGCUAUAUGAAAAAGUGUCCAUCAGCUAAAACAAUGCAUUCACUACUUCAGUGUAGCCUUUUGUUUACUUGACGUUGAUCACGAAUCGAACAAGUAGACUAGACACGUACUGCAAUUCGCCAUGCUUUAGGGCAACUGCUCGUUAGGUAUAAGAUUCGUUGAUCCUCCAACAUUUAAUCAAAGAAGCAGAAGCCAAUUUUUUAAACAACCAACUCUAAGCUGGUUGACAAUUUCAUGACGUCGAAUGCAUUCAACAUUUUUAACUUUCAAUUGUGAUCAAUACUGUUUUAUGAUAGUCGUCCCCGGUACAUUCAUACCAUCAUUGCAUUCUUUAUAACAUUUUCCAUUAGAUGUGCAGGUUGCGAUCUCGGAAUCAUAUUUUCACUCGCUAAAUUCAAAUACUCUAUCUCGUUUUCAAAACCUUGAGUGCAAAAUUUUAGGUAUACCCAAACCUUGAGUGCAAGAGCCUAGGUUGUCACGUCCCGAAAUCUCGAGCGUGCGAACAACUCUCAACGGUUGAUUAAGUUGUGACCUUUCAAGAAUCGUGGCCUACUCAUUUCUUUUCUUAAUCUUUUGAUUAAAUCUAAGUGGAAGUAUUUUUUAUUAAAGUAUAGUUUAGUUGUGGCAUGUGCAAUUCAAGAGGUCUCGGGUUUUUGAGUGAUUCUGAAAAUGGGUCUUAUUAACAAGAGUUCUGAGUAAGCUAAUUGAGAUAUUAAAAAUAGUAAAAACUCAUGUCGACAUAUUUCACGAGAAUUAUUGAAGUGAAGAGAGGUACGACGAAGCAAAGAAGAUGUUUAAGAGCAUGGUGAACCACGGGUGUCGGCCUAACGGUGAUUGUUAUUUCACCUUCAUUCACUAUCUUUGCAAGGGAGUGGAUUUCGACACCGCUUUGCAGAUUUGUAAGGAGAGUAUGGGGUUGGGUUCCGAAUUGCGGAACGACAAAGUCGCUAGUUAAUGGGCUGGUGAGUAUUGAUAAGGUCGAUGAGGCUAGGGAGCUUAUUAAGCAGGUGAAGGAGAGGUUUUCUAGAAAUACAGAUUUGUGGGAUGAAGUAGAAGCUGGUUUACCUCAGUAAUGAAGAUCAGAUGGUUUGCUGUUUUCAUUUGGUUUCAAUAAAAGCGCAGCUUGAUCUGAAAUGGGCAAACAUUGGUAUCAUGGAAGCCAGGUUUUACUUUUUUCAAAAUCGAUCAACUUCAGAGAUUCUCGAAUGAAAAGGCUGUCGGACAUCCUCUUAUCAUUCAUUAGGUUCUGGUUACUCUUGAUGUACGGACUAAAAGCGCAUGUGAGCUGAACCAACUUUGGGAAGAUGUCUUACCUCUCCCUUGGUGCAGGUUCAAGUACCAGCCUCCCUUUGAGCCACCUACCGUGAGUCUUAUGGUGCUACUCUCUGGUUGGUUAUUCACUGUUGUUUUUUUCGUGUUAGGGUAGCUGGGGAUUCCCAUAGGAAGUUUUUCCAGUGGAAUAGUGUGGUGUAUGUAGAGCAUCAAUCUGGAAGUUGACAUCACUGUUUGCUGUUUGUGUCAAAAUUGGAAAUGUGAUGGUUAUGGCUUCGAACCUUUUCAAUUCGUCCAUCCAUCCAGUUGAAGUCGCUUGGUCUUGAAGGAUAACCGAUGUUACCUAAGGCUUUUGUCUUGUUAGUGGCCAUACCAUAGCAUGUUGAUGAGGGAUUGUCAAAUCUUUUCAGUACCGCUUUGUUAAAUCAGAGAUUGGAUGACUGUUUUGCUGCUAGCAGAGGUGCCAAUGUAAUGUCCGUUCUUUGUUUGUUGCUUAUGUUAAUUGCUGGAGAUGCAGUAUGCUUUUCUUACUCUGAACUGUAAAUGCAUAUUAUCGAAACUACUUUUAGCCGAAAUAUACACCUUUAUCCUGAGAAGACACGAGCAUUGCUUCGAUGUACUCUGUGCUGGUGAGACGAUAUGAACUUUUGCCGCUCAAAGGCGAUUUAUGUGUUCGCAGUAUUGAGAAAAUCGAUUCAGUGUUUUGCAUCAGCAAAUGCCCUCAGCUAUACUUUCCACUCAUGCAAGGGAAAGAAGGAACUUUUUUUUCAUCAGGAGGAAAUCUGGGUGAAUUGAGGGUAAGUGCUUGGCAUAUAUCUGGGCAGAAGGAACAUGUAUCUCAAAUGUUCUCCAUAGAAAGGAGUCAAGCAACCAGAAGAAUUUCCAAUGAAUUGAACAGGAGAAAGAGAGUGCGAACGUCUGUGUUUAUGAACGCCGAUAGGCUUAAAAGAUUCCGAAAGAGAAUGACUUGGACAAUUGUCUUCCCUAAGACCUGUCAAAUUUGUCCUCAAGAAGAGUAUAAUUGAACCCGCGAUUCCCAUUUGUCCGAUAACUAUCUUUGACCUGUGCGACGGAGCAAAUGCUUGGGCGAGCUCAAAGCUCGCAUGGUGACGGUCAUAGGUAGCUCGAGCUUUGCCGGCCCCUCGGGUGAGCCACGAGCUCGCCAACUUGCUUUAUGGCCGGUCACUGGACUGCCGACCAUUGCUGAGGCAUGCAAAAAGAAAAAAGAAAAAAGAAAAGAAAUAUGAUGAAAAAUUCAAUUUCUUUUACAAAAGUUCCAUUAACAAAGGAAUUAAGGACCCUAAGACUAGGAAAAUAUUAAGGGGGAAAUUAUUUUCCUAAAUUUAAGUUUUACUAGGAAAAUCUUUCAUUUAUCUGGGCAAUUGUUGUCCAUUGAUUCAUUUUUCGAAAAUGUUUUCUAUGAAAUAAAUAGAUCGAAGAAAUGUUUGAGUUGGUAGUGUUGCUCAGGAUUUUUGGUAAAAUAAUCCAUAAAAAAUUAUACAUAUUUCUUACAUUUGGUUAUUGAAUUACUAUGCAUAAUUCUAUGUAACUCUGUGUUUGUGUUGACAUGCGCAAAGUAAUAUAUGUGGAGGAUUUGUACGGACAUUUUUAUGUGCAUUUUCAUUUGGGGGAUCAUCAGGCGUACGAGCCAGUCAAGAUAUUCGUGAACCACUUGUGUUGGACUCAUCGCCUAUUUGAAAUCUGCUCGAUUUUUUUUUUUUUUUUGAGUUCAAUUAUCUUGCCGAGUCAAAUUCGAGUCUAAAGACACUUGACUUGCUCCGGUCACGAGCCUAACUGAGUAUUUAAUUUUUUGUUGUGCUUUCUUAUUAUGGUGAUUGAUAAUGUAAAAUAUUCUUACAAUAUCACUUUUGCUAUGUAAUUGCCUUUCAGCCUCUUAUAUAUUUUUAAAGACAAAAUAAAAAGAGUAUUUCGAGCCGAGUUGAGUUUGAUUGAGUCAGAAAAAAUUAAGUACAUUGAUUUUAUACACGUAAAAGUGAGUCGAGCCAAGUCAGGCUCGAGGAUGCCGAGCUCUACACCAAGUCACGUUCAAAUAGGGAAUUAGGUACUUUAUUGAGUUCAAAGCUUCGAGUUUAUGAGUCUAGGAUUAUGUUGCCUUGGCUCGACUCUAUUGCAUCCUUUUUAUGGGAAAAAUGUCAAAAAAAAUUCUAAACUUUUGAGAAAAUUUCAAAUAAAAACCUCAAGUGUCAUUGUUUUCUCAAGUAUGAGCCUGAAGUGGACUUUUUGUUAAAUGAUGAUAUGAAGUGGCCAUGGUUAUUUUAAAUAAGAGCUUGCCCUCAUUGGUCACUGGUUGGCUAAAUAUUUCAAUUGGUUAAAGGGCGUUUUCAUAUAUAAUUUUAAUUUUAAGUCAUUUUUUGUUCUUUUUUGUUCUCUUUUCAUUUUCUUUUUUUCUUUCUAGAGAGGGCCGACGACCUCUCUAGAAACCGCUUGAACAAAAACGGGGGAAACUGGAGAAAAAGACAGCACGCAGAGAGAGAGAGAGAGAGAGAGAGAGUCGGAGGGGGUUCGCUCUCUCCUGCCGAGACAGAGGGAGCGACGAGAGACAAAGGAGGUGUUUCGCUCGCUCCCUCUCCCGCUCGCAUUCCGAUUCCGUCGCCGACGAUCUCCGGCCAGCUACGUCUCCGGUGAGUCCUCUUUUACGCACCUCCGAGGAUCCGAGCUCGGCGACGCUGGGGCAGCCGGCCGUCGGCCGAUUCUCUUCGGGCUCCCCCCCGUCGCCGAGCCCUUCCGUCCCGUCUCGGUUCAACCGGGGCGGAGGAUCCUCGUUCUUCGUUUCUUCCUGCCUGUUUUGGUUCGCGUUUGGGCCUCGAACGGCGAGUUUUGCUCCUGUCUGUCUGUCGAUGCAUGUCGCAUGCUCGGUGAAAUGCCUGAACUAGAUUUGUAUUGGUAUUCUCCCGUUCUCGUUCGUUCCUACGUACUUGAUGAUCGUUAGGCACGUUCUUGGGGAUUUUCAUCACAUUCUCUGCCUCGGUUGUGACUGGCUCGUUACGGUUUUUUCGACCGACCAAGGAGCGACGUCCCGAUCCUGAGGAUUAGCGACAUUAGUCAGUGGAGUCCAUUCCAUGGCUGCCGGUGGUGAGGUUUGGCCGGGCUUGACGUCGUCACCGGUCUGGUCGGGCGAGACGAGCGGGCUCGGGUGUGGGCUGGCCGAGACUUAGGGUUUUCCUGGGGCCUUGGGGUUGGGCUAGCCAAAUAAUAGGAAAGAGGUGGUCGACUGGGCUUGGAGUUUUAGAAAUUGGUGUGGGCUAAAAGAGGGAGAAGGAAUUAGUGGGGGGUUGGAUGUGGGUCUAGAAUAGGAUAUAGGAGGGCUGGGCUCAUGUGCGGAGCUCAAUCUGACUGAGAACCUAGACCAGUGAGACCUGGCUUCGGUUCCUGUCCAGACCCGGCCCAGAGACCCAAAUGUAGAAAUUUGAUGAGAAAGUUUCUUCUCUUGACCUUUUAGUGUAAUUGGUGCCUUGCUUGCUUGCACUUUGGUUGUUUUGCAUGUCUAAUUUGCGUAUUUAAUCACGAGUGUGAAUGUUUAGAUGCACAUGCUAUAUUAACUAAUACUGUUGAGGUUGAAAUGAGAGCUUGUACUCACUGUUCCUUAAGUUUCUGUGUUGCUUUUGGUUGGAUAUUGGAAUUAUAAAGAAUCUUUUCCGUGUCGUCAUCCGUGGUUAUGAUCAAGAGAGCUCUUAUUUUGUUUUAGUUUGUCAUACGUGGAAUUUGUUCACAUUGAAAUCCUUUAUUGGAUAGGAACUUUGAAUCUGCAUGAUUUGAACUUUUAAGGAAAUCGUGUUAGCUUGUUAAGUUUGCCUGGAGUUGUCUAAUGUUUAUUUAGUUUUCUUUGCCUGGAGCCAUGGAUAAAAGACGAGCUCUUGUGAUAGCUGGGCCCGAUAAAGUUUUGUGUUGGUAGAUGUGAAAGAUUGUGUGAUGUCCCUGAUCCCUUACUCCAUCAGGUACUUGGCUUCCUUGAAAGAACUCAUAGUGUCUUGUCGAGUAGAACCACGAUGAGUUGAGGUUACCCAAUAGAAGGCGUUUCUUGUAAUACGUGGAUUGGGCAUUGUCUUGUUGUGAUUUAUACCAUGUGAAAUCCUUCUCUUUCCAUACAUCAAGACGCUUCUUCCAUAUAUUCUGAGAUAAAAUUUGCCAAAAAUCGUAAGGUUCAAACUCUUGGAGUGAGCUUUGAUUUGCCGAUAAUAUCAGUAUUACGGUACCUUCAUGCGUGUUUAGGAGCGAAACCUUGACAGAAUUCUAUUUGGGAAUAGAGGACUUGCUUUCUUCUUCCAUUUGUUUUUCGGAUCUUACGACUUACUUUUAUGGAUGAUGGGUCAAUUGGAAGCCUGUUUUCAGUUCCUUGUCUUGAGGAUUUGUGUCUUUGAAAUUGUUGGCAUCUCAAAACCCUUACUGUUUCAAUUCUAAAUCUAUUGAGCUUGUUUAUCGAGCAAAAGACAAUUAAACCUAAGCUCGAGCUCUUUAGCUAUAUUGAUGGGCUUGUCUAAGUGUGCGAUACGCGAUGCUUAUGUGCUACGUGACGCUCAUUUGAUUUUGAGUGGUCCGGCCGAGGGGAUUUAUGCUUCCCGUGCACAUAAACUUCUAAAGGAUCUGUCUGCUACGAAAUGUCUUUUUCUCCUGAGGUAUAAUAUUAAUCUUAUUUCUUGUACUUUGGGUCGAAGCAUUGCAUUAUGUUUUGUCAGUCAAAUUAGUGUUCUCUGGAUCUAUUUUCAGGAGAUCAGUUUCUUCCUAAUCUUCUCUUGCCUUAACCUCUUGUCAUUCGACAUAUGAUAGAUUCCCUAUCAAUCCUUGCGAUGCUCAACAACUAUCCUUAUUUGGUCAGGCUUUUGUUUUGUGGGAUAACUAUUAUGUCCUUCUUAUUAUUUCCUCUGACUGAAUCUUGUGAUCAAAUGCGAAAGUUGAUUGUUAUGUAAUUGUCAAUUAGGGUUUGGUUGUGAACUUCAAAAACGACGAAGGAAUAUUGGAUCCGGCGCCCGAGUGCUUCUAAACGUCACUCAAGUUCAUCACGAUUGAAGAAUUUGAUGCCACUUAUUACCAACUUUUAGCCAUGACGAUCAUACUUAGGGCUGCCUAAGUUUUGCAGUAGAGGCUUCACAUAAUCUGCUUAGAGCAGAAGUCAGGGUCUUCUAUGGUAGAUCUUUUGGAAAGCGUUUAGCUCCUUUCGAUGAGCUCAGAUCAAUGUUUCAUUUCUCUGUGCCCCUAUGACUUUUAGCAUAUUUAGUUAGUUGAUGAGAUUCUUGAGUUAGCUAGACUACCGCUUCUUGAGAAACUUUAUUAGUUUUGCCAUAUGGUGAGCUGUAGUUUAGCUAUCUCAAGAGUCUCGUCAACUAACUGAAUGUGCUAAAAGUCAUAGGGGAACACUGACAUGAGACAUUGAUCUGAGCUCUUAGGAAGAAACUGAAUGCUUUCCAAAGGAUCUACCAUAGAAGCUCUCAGCCUUUGCAAAACUUGGGCAGUCCUAAGUAUAAUUGUCACGGCUAAGAGUUGGUCAUCAGUGGCAUCAAAUUCUUUAAUCGUGAUGAACUUGAGCGACUAUUGGAAGCAUUCGGUGCCGGGUCCAAUAUUCCUUCAUCGUUUUUGGAGUCCACAACCAAGCCCUAAUUGACAAUUACAUACCAAUCAAUCUUCGCAUUUGAUCACAAGAUUUAGUAAGAGGAAACAAUAAAAAUGAUAGAAUAGUUACCUCACAAAAAAAAAAGCUGACCAAACAAGGACAGAGAGCAUCGAAAGGAGUGAUAGGGAAUCUAACUUCAUUGUGUCAUAAGUGUCGAAUGACAAGAGGUUGAGGCGAGAGAAGACUGGGAAGGAACUGAUCUCUUGAAAAUAAAUCCAGAGAACACUAAUUAGACUGACAAAACAUAAUGCAAUGCUUCGACUCAAAAUACAAAAAAUAAGAUUGAUAUUAUACCUCAAGAAUGUAGUAAUGCAGAAAAAAGAUGUUCGCAGCAGACAUAUCUUUAAAAGCUUAUGUGCGCGGGAAGCAUAAAUUCCCUCGAUUGGAUCACCCAAAACCAAACGAGCGUCACGUAGCACAGAAUCAAACAAGUGCCCACCAAUAUAGCUAAAAAGCUUGAGCUUAGGUUUAGUUGUCCUUUGCUCGAUAAACCAACUCAAUAGAUUUAGAGCUGAAACAGGUUUUGAGAUGCCAACAAUUCCAAAGACACAAGUCCUCAAGACAAGGAACUGAAAGCAGGCUUUCGAUUGACCCAUCAUCCAUAAAAGUGAGUCCACUAAGAUGUAAGAUCCGUGAAACAAAUGAAAGAAGGAAGUAGGUUCCUCUAUUCCCAGAUGGAACUUUGUCAAGGUUUCGCUCCUAAACAAGUAUGAAGGUACCAUAAUGCUGAUAUUAUCGGCAAAUCAAAGCUCACUCCAAGAGUUUGAACCUUGCGAUUUAUGGCAAAGUUUAUCCAAGAGUAUAUGGAAUAUGCGUCUUGAUGCAUGGAAAGAGAAGAUUUCACAUGGGAUAAAUCACGACAAGACAAUGCCCAAUCCAUGUAUUGCAAGAAACGCCUUCUAUCAGGUAAUCUCAACUCAUCGAACACAAGAUUGGGAAGGGAUGCCCACAAGGACCUCCACCUACUCGACAAGACACUUGUUCUGAUGAGUUCUUUCAAUGGAAGGAAGCCAAGUAUGUGAUGGAGUAAGGAUCAGGGAGAUCACACAAUCUUUCACAUCUACCAACACAAAACUCUCCUUUAGAGUUAUCGGGCCCAGCUAUCACAAGAGCUCGUCUUUUAUCCAUGGCUCUAGCUAGUACUCAGGAGUCAAAGCUGACAGAAGGAAACUAAAUAAACAUUAGACAACUCCAGGUAGACUAAACAAGCUAACACAAUUUCCCAAAAAGUUCAAAUCAUGCAGAUUCAAAGCUCCUAUCCAAUAGAGGAUUUCAAUGUGAACAAAUUCCAUGCAUGACAAACUAAAACAAGUGCUCUCUUGAGCAGAAACCACGGAUGACGACAUAAGAGCUGAAUGCUUUCCAAAAGGUCUACCACAGAAGGUCCUAGCCUCUGUUUUGAGCAGAUUAUGUGAAGCCUCCGCAAAACUUAGGCAGCAGGUAUGAUCGUCACGGCUAAAAGUUGGUCACCAAGUUCAGGUGGCAAAACUAAUAGCUUGUUUUCUCUUACAUGUUCUGAAUGGUAAAAUUCAUUACAAAGAACUUAAGGUGAUCUUUUGGCUCAUCAUUAGUCAUUUUGGUUGUUCACUUUAAGCAGUAGAAUUGCGACAAUACAUGGAACUCGUAGCGUCGUUGUUAGAGCACAACAAGCUUGUUCAUGGCCUCUUCUUGAUUUCAGGAUAGUUUAUUUGCAAAUUCAUGCACUUGACUACUUCAUGCUUUUGUUUCCUUCUCUUGAUAUGAGAACAACUCGUAUUUCUUUGUGUGUGACAUUGCAAAUUGAAUUAAUUUAAUGUGGCCCUUCAUUUUAAGUGCAGGGCUAUGGCUGAACUAUGAGUUCUUAGACUAUUGGGGAAUCCUCGAGUUCCUUCCUGAAAUUUUACCACUAAACAAUCUUCACCAUUUGUCUUUGGCAAAUAUUAGGAUCAUGGCAGAUGAAAACCUAAGAUCAGUGAAUUGUAUGCUCUUGAUGUACACACUUAUCUUUGUGAUGUGAGAAGAAAUAGAUAUGUCCCAUUCGAUUGGAGUCCUUUCAUCGGAGAUUGGAGAAGGAACAUCAGGUAAAUUUGGUGUAUCAUAUUGCAUCAUGGAAUCCAUGGCAGUUUCCAUAUAAUCUAGGGUUAUAGAUGCAAAUCUUUGCUCUAUAACGGUUCUUAAUGUAGCCUGUUGAAAUUGUUGAGCAUCUUAGGUGUCGCACUGAUCGGCUUUGCAGCCUAGUUCGGAAUAUGUGAAGGAUAUCGUUCUGGCACAUAAAUAAAGGGAGGGAAGAAAGGGCCGGCCUUUAUAUGCGAGUAGAAUUUUUCAGUUCUACUUGCAAACUAUUCUUUAUGUGAAGAUAUGAACAUUUUUUCUUGAUGGAUAGCGAGGCCCUAUGUGGAAAGGGGACAGUUGACAGAAUCUGAUUGUGAUGGCUGCUGACGAGACUAAAAAGCCUUCAAGACAACUCUGGAAGCUUGUGAAGAAACAGUACCGAACUUCAUGGAAGAUCCCAAUUUGUCACGAUGUCAAUGCAUCACCGAUUUCUUCGUGAUUUGAGAGCAUAAGGACGAAGAGUGUGCAUGUGCUUUUGGGAUUCCAUUGCUUUGUCAUCGCUAGAGCUUAUUAGUAUGGUAUGGAAUACUCUCAGGGCAGGCAAUUUUGCAGCAUCAAUGAGGAGACAACCAUAGUUGGAGGAGCAAUGAGCUUGAGCAUGUUAUUUCGGCUGAAAUUAAAAAGGAAAAAAAAUUGCUUAGAAGUGAAGGAACUGAUGUGAUCAUAAGAUUGAGAUAAUGCGGAAAAGUUAUUGUAAGGGAAAAUGACAUAGAUGAUCUUUAAUCUUUGGUUUAAUAGGCGAUGUGGUUUCUGAAUUUUUAAUUUGCUUGAUGUAGUCUCUGAACUUUGGUCCAAUGUGCAAUGUCAUCCCUAAAUAUUAAAUUUCUUUAAUGUGACUCCUGAACUAUUAGUAAAAGAUCGAUUUAGUCUUUCACCUAUAUGAAGAUAUCUACUAUUGUUCUUUCGGUAAUUCAAGUUAAUGGAAUCUUUGUGUGGCUUCCGAUAUGUUAUAUUUGAAUGGUAGAUCUUAAAAAGGGUUUUGCAUGGAUUGUCCACCUAUAUCGUUCGUCUCAAAUCAAGGAAAGAAAUUGUCAUGUGUAAUAUUUGAAGUUCGUCAUUUGCUUAUUUCCUUUUCUAAAGUAAAUGGAUUAAAUGAUAGACAUGCUGACUCAUCAUUCAAGCAUGUCAUUUGAGCCAAGAGGAAAACCACAUUGAAAAUUUAUUACUAGUUCAAAAAUCACAUUUCACAUAUUAAAAAUUCAGAGACAAAAUUACAUGUCAAAUCAAAAUUCAUGGAUUGUUUAUGUUGUCAUCUCUUAUUGAGACAGGGCAGUCUCUUGCCAUUCUUCAUUUCAGCACAGAAAGCAUGGGUAAAAUGAUCUAUAUCGCAAGCCCGAUGGUAUUUAAUCAAAUCACAUCCCUACCAUGACACUCAUUACGAUGUUUCGCAAAGUGAAGUACACAUUAGUGGUCCACUCAUUGCAUGAGAAUACAUGCGUUUUUUUUGUGAGAGAGAGAGAUAGAGAGAGAGAGAGAGAGAGAGAGAGAGAGAGAGAGAGAUGUAAAAGAAGGAAGCAUGUAUCAGGAAUUUUCUGGAUUAUAAAGCAUGAAUGGUGCUUAUGAAAGUGAAAAAUUCAAGACGAACCCUGCUGAAAAGUAACUAUCCGAAGGCGCAUUUGCAGCCAAAAGAUUGGUGAAAGCUGUACCGCCUGGAAGUCUGUAAACUUUACAAUGUUUUGCAGUUCGCUGGUAAACAAUGGGUGAUUUCUCAUGUCAAGAGCAUCAAUUAUGAACUGCCCCACGCUGUGUACUUCGAGAAAAGAGCACCCGACAAAAACUUUUUGUUAUAAUCACCAGAAGAAGAGGACAUCCACUGACCAAAGCAAUCUUCAUUCACAAGCAUCCUCUCUCUAAUGCANNNNNNNNNNNNNNNNNNNNNNNNNNNNNNNNNNNNNNNNNNNNNNNNNNNNNNNNNNNNNNNNNNNNNNNNNNNNNNNNNNNNNNNNNNNNNNNNNNNNUGGUUGUGUGAUGACCGCUGGGAGAUCGAAUUUUGCAUUAUGGCAUGUUCAUUUAACGGUGGUAAUGCUCGUUGAACAACCAUUUCACUUACUAGCUCCUAGUGGUAUGUUUUUUUCCUUAGCCAAGCUAUUUUAGAAUUGCGGAUUGGAAAUCGAUACAGCUUGUGUUUACUUGCGUUAAAUGUACAAUGUUAUUGAUAUUUUGCUUCCUAGGAAUACGCGAGGCAGCUGCCCUUUAGUUAUCCUUCAUCGAUUUGACAAUUAAACCGGCUAUUUUCAUGAAGCAAUGACAUGUAAACGUUGAUAUCCUACUUUCAUUAAUAGCCUGUCCCUAGAUCUUCUGGUACUCUUUUCAAGAUAAUUAAAGUGAGCUUGUUCCGGGUGAUUUGCCUUUACUGUGGCUUGAGGUGAUUGGCGAUGGUGUUGUGCGGUGGUGGCGGUGGUGGUCGUUGAUGACGUUGAUCAGAGACACAGGUUGUUGGUAGCAAUGGCCUGAGUUAAUCCUGGGUUGCUUUAGUUUAGGUGUAUAUUUGUGUAAAGUUUUAGUAACCAGAUUGUUAAGCUUUAGUAAUUUGGUUAUUAGGCUUGAUAUGAGGUAAGUCCGGGAAUAAUGAGCAUGGGGAAGGAUAUUGUAGACGUCUUGAGAUGGAUAUUAGUAAAAAUGGGCUCGUUUUGAUUAAAGCAUAAUGCAUUCAAUAUUAGUCUUGGAUCUGCCAAAAGGAUAACGCAAAACCUCAUCGACCGACACUUGACCUUUUUCUUUAUUCAGAGCGUGCAUCAUGAUGCUAAACGAAAAGCAAGUUGCAGUCUUAUUCACGUCUUCAAUGCAACCGUCGAGUCAAAAUUAAGUCCUGAUUCGGGAAUCGACUUGACUACAUUUCUGCACCAAGGAUUCAUUACUGUUACCUCGAACGAUCAUAGCUCUUUGAAAGCAUUACCUAGGGUGGAUGAUUAGUAUCAUCAUCAUUCCAAUGCUUCAAUCCUUCCGGCGAUUCAAACCUCAUGAGGAGGUAAGUCUUAAGCGAUUCUUGGAAUAAAUUAUGGUUAUAAUUGGGUUGGGAGGCCCGGACCUUCAUCAUUUUCNNNNNNNNNNNNNNNNNNNNNNNNNNNNNNNNNNNNNNNNNNNNNNNNNNNNNNNNNNNNNNNNNNNNNNNNNNNNNNNNNNNNNNNNNNNNNNNNNNNNUAGCAAUUUGACUCGGUGGUCAUUUUCGAUCUCCAUGGCAUCGAAGAAUUUCUCAACUUCCUGGAACCAAUCCAAAAUGUCCUUUCGAUUGAUAUUGCUCGAGGUCUAGUCAACAUCCCCUGUUCUGAUGGCCUCCUUGAAUAAGCCCAUUUAGGAACUCGACAUAAGCUUGUUGCCUCUGUUGGGGUUUUGUCCCACAUUCCAUAAAUUACUUUCGAGACUUGAGCGGCCUGAGCACAUUCGGUCGAAAGAUUACUAGGUAUGAGUUGGUAAACAAACGCUGGAUGACGACAAGUCCUAAAGCCUCCAUUCGGUUUGCUAUGCAAAUUGGUAGAACUUAGCCCAUGUAAUAGGCUCGUUUUCACGGCGCUCAAUUGCGGGGAGAUUAUCAUUGAUGUUAUUGGUCAUUGUCACAGAAGAAACCUACUCAGCUACCAUAUGAUGCAGAGGAAGAUAUGCUUGGAAAAAGGAUUUCAAAGGUAGUGUUUAUUUUCAACAAUGAAGCGUGGAUCGCAAUGUUUUAAGUGAGUAUUUGUAAGGAGGUCGCCCUUUAAGAAAUAAUUAUAAUCAAAUAACGAAAUUAUGGAAAAAUAUUAGUAGAGGAGAAAGUCUACAAAACACGUCUUGAACAUCUACAAAAUAUGUCCGAAAUCUUUGACGGUCUGGAAAUCAAGGAAGACGUGAAUUUGAGAUCAAAUAUUGCCUAAAUCAGUAUAGCCCAUUCGCAACUUCGAAGCUCCCACAAUUUUCUUUGAUUUGUGAGACCGCCUACUCCUAUGGUGCUCGAAGAUUUCUGUAUAAGCAUUUGCCUGUUGUUCCACGUCACUGCCUCAUUUCAAAGCUAUAUAAAAAAGUGUCCAUCAGCUAAAACAAUGCAUUCACUACUUCAGCGUAGCCUUUUGUUUACUAGACGUUGAUCAUGAAUCGAGCAAGUAGACUAGACACGUACUGCAAUUCNNNNNNNNNNNNNNNNNNNNNNNNNNNNNNNNNNNNNNNNNNNNNNNNNNNNNNNNNNNNNNNNNNNNNNNNNNNNNNNNNNNNNNNNNNNNNNNNNNNNNNNNNNNNNNNNNNNNNNNNNNNNNNNNNNNNNNNNNNNNNNNNNNNNNNNNNNNNNNNNNNNNNNNNNNNNNNNNNNNNNNNNNNNNNNNNNNNNNNNNNNNNNNNNNNNNNNNNNNNNNNNNNNNNNNNNNNNNNNNNNNNNNNNNNNNNNNNNNNNNNNNNNNNNNNNNNNNNNNNNNNNNNNNNNNNNNNNNNNNNNNNNNNNNNNNNNNNNNNNNNNNNNNNNNNNNNNNNNNNNNNNNNNNNNNNNNNNNNNNNNNNNNNNNNNNNNNNNNNNNNNNNNNNNNNNNNNNNNNNNNNNNNNNGUUGCGACCUUUCAAGAAUCGCGGCCUACUCAUUUCUUUUUUUAAUCUUUUGAUUAAAUCUAAGUGGAAGUAUUUUUUAUUUUUUUAUUAAAGUAUAGUUUAGUUGUGGCAUGUGCAAUUCAAGAGGUCUCGGGUUUUCGAGUGAUUCUGAAAAUGGGUCUUAUUAACAAGAGUUCUGAGUAAGCUAAUUGAAAUAUUAAAAAUAGUAAAAACUCAUGUCGACAUAUUUCACGAGAAUUAUUGAAGUGAAGAGAGGUACGACGAAGCGAAGAAGAUGUUUAAGAGCAUGGUGAACCAUGGGUGUCGGCCUAACAGUGAUUGUUAUUUCACCUUCAUUCACUAUCUUUGCAAGGGAGGGGAUUUCGACACCGCUUUGCAGAUUUGUAAGGAGAGUAUGGAAAAGGGUUGGGUUCCGAAUUUCGGAACGAUGAAGUCGCUAGUUAAUGGGCUCGUGAGUAUUGAUAAGGUCGAUGAGGCUAGGGAGCUUAUUAAGCAGGUGAAGGAGAGGUUUUCUAGAAAUACAGAUUUGUGGGAUGAAGUAGAAGCUGGUUUACCUCAGUAAUGAAGAUCAGAUGGUUUGCUAUUUUCAUUUGGUUUCAAUAAAAGCGCAGCUUGAUCUGAAAUGGGCAAACAUUGGUAUCAUGGAAGCCAGGUUUUACUUUUUUCAAAAUCGAUCAACUGCAGAGAUUCUCGAAUGAAAAGGCUGUCGGACAUCCUCUUAUCAUUCAUUAGGUUCUGGUUCUGGUUACUCUUGAUGUACGGACUAAAAGCGCAUGUGAGCCGAACGAACUUUGGGAAGAUGUCUUACCUCUCUCUUGGUGCAGGUUCAAGUACCAGCCUCCCUUUGAGCCACCUACCGUGAGUCUUAUGGUGCUACUCUCUGGUUGGUUAUUGACUGUUGUUAUUUUUGUGUUAGGGUAGCUGGGGAUUCCCAUAGGAAGUUUUUCCAGUGGAAUAGUGUGGUGUAUGUAGAGCAUCAAUCUGGAAGUUGACAUCACUGUUUGCUGUUUGUGUCAAUUGGACAUGUGAUGGUUAUCACUCCGAACCUUUUCAAUUCGUCCAUUCAUCCAGUUGGAGUCACUUGGUCUUGAAGGAUAACCGAUGUUACCUAAGGCUUUUGUCUUGUUAGUGGCCAUACCAUAGCAUGUUGAUGAGGGAUUGUCAAAUCUUUCCAGUACUGCUUUGGUAAAUCAGAGAUUGGAUGACUGUUUUGCUGCUAGCAGAGGUGCCAAUGUAAUGCCCGUUCUUUGUUUGUUGCUUAUGUUAAUUGCUGGAGAUGCAGUAUGCUUUUCUUACUCUGAACUGUAAAUGCAUAUUAUCGAAACUACUUUUAGCCGAAAUAUACACCUUUAUCCUGAGAAGACACGAGCAUUGCUUCGAUGUACUCUGUGCUCGUGAGACGAUAUGAACUUUUGCGGCUCAAGGCGAUUUAUGUGUUCGCAGGUAUUGAGAAAAUCGAUUCAGUGUUUUGCAUCAGCAAAUGCCCUCAGCUAUACUUUCCACUCAUGCAAGGGAAAGAAGGAACUUUUUUUUCAUCAGGAGGAAAUCUGGGUGAAUUGAGGGUAAGUGCUUGGCAUAUAUCUGGGCAGAAGGAACAUGUAUCUCAAAUGUUCUCCAUAGAAAGGAGUCAAGCAACCAGAAGAAUUUCCAAUGAAUUGAACAGGAGAAAGAGAGUGCGAACGUCUGUGUUUAUGAACGCCGAUAGGCUUAAAAGAUUCCGAAAGAGAAUGACUUGGACAAUUGUCUUCCCUAAGACCUGUCAAAUUUGUCCUCAAGAUGAGUAUAAUUGAACCCGCGAUUCCCAUUUGUCCGAUAACUAUCUUUGACCUGUGCGACAGAGCAAAUGCUUGGGCGAGCUCAAAGCUCGCAUGGUGACGGUCAUAGGUAGCUCGAGCUUGCCGGCCCCUCGGGUGAGCCACGAGCUCGCCAACUUGCUUCAUGGCCGGUCACUGGACUGCCGACCAUUGCUGAGGCAUGCAAAAAGAAAAAAGAAAAAAGAAAAAAAUAUGAAAAAUUCAAUUUCUUUUACAAAAGUUUACUUUCAUAAGUAUAAAAGUUCCAUUAACAAAGGAAUUAAGGACCCUAAGACUAGGAAAAUAUUAAGGGGGAAAUUAUUUUCCUAAAUUUAAGUUUUACUAGGAAAAUCUUUCAGUUAUCUGGGCAAUUGUUGUCCAUUGAUUCAUUUUUCGAAAAUGUUUUCUAUGAAAUAAACAGAUCGAAGAAAUGUUUGAGUUGGUAGUGUUGCUCAGGAUUUUUGGUAAAAUAAUCCAUAAAAAAAUUAUACAUAUUUCUUACAUUUGGUUAUUGAAUUACUAUGCAUAAUCCUAUGUAACUCUGUGUUUGUGUUGACAUGCGCAAUAAGUAAUAUAUGUGGAGGAUUUGUACGGACAUUUUUAUGUGCAUUUUCAUUUGGGGGGAUCAUCAGGCGUACGAGCCAGUCAAGAUAUUCGUGAACCACUUGUGUUGGACUCAUCGCCUAUUUGAAAUCUGCUUGAUUUUUUUUUUUUUGAGUUCAAUUAUCUUGCCGAGUCAAAUUCGAGUCUAAAGACACUUGACUUGCUCCGGUCACGAGCCUAACUGAGUAUUUAAUUUUUUGUUGUGCUUUCUUAUUAUGGUGAUUGAUAAUGUAAAAUAUUCUUACAAUAUUACUUUUGCCAUGUAAUUGCCUUUCAGCCUCUUAUAUAUUUUUAAAGACAAAAUAAACAGAGUAUUUCGAGCCGAGUUGAGUUUGAUUGAGUGAGAAAAAAUUAAGUACGUUGAUUUUAUACACGUAAAAGUGAGUCGAGCCAAGUCAGGCUCGAGGAUGCCGAGCUCUACACCAAGUCACGUUCAAAUAGGGAAUUAGGUACUUUAUUGAGUUCAAAGCUUCGAGUUUAUGAGUCUAGGAUUAUGUGACAUCCCGAUUUUUCAAUUUUAUUUUCAAUAAAUUGAUAUGGGCAUUUCGUUGGCACGUAUAUAGUUCUUUUCCUUGAGUUGGCCACUCAUGUGGAAACUAGUCUAUCGGGUGGAGCUGUUAAGAAUUUCUAAUGCAUCAGACUCGAGAAUUUGACCAGGAAGCGAUCUUUCGACCGAGCUAAUCUACAAGGGUCAUUGCGGCACAAUUAAAAUUGAUUAGAGAUCGGAGAUAGGUCGACUCGACAGAGGCAUGUGAUCAAGUGUGGGUGAUUCCACCAGAUCGCACAAUUCUGGUCGAUCGGCACUGGACCGACUUUUCUGUCGAUUGGGUACCCUGUGUUCGUAUUUGAAACCUUGAGAUUACCCCGACAACCAAAAAUCUCCAAUGUUUCAAAGAUGUACGUUGUGGCUUGAGAUGAUCAACCACAUGUCAAAUGCAUGAAAAUUUCUAAAGGCUACCCAGUAGGUUGGACCGUGCUAGUAUCGUGCCAAAGUGAAAUUAACCGUGGAAUUAAGAUCGAAUUCAGAAAUUGGAAGUUUGGGUGUGUCACAAAUCAUUUCAAGAUCAUUGAAUCAUCUUUGGAAGAUUUUUCAUGCAAGCCAAGCUUUUUAGCAAAAUAAUCAAGAAAUGGCUAAUUUGGCUCGAGAAAUUAGUAUGCCGNNNNNNNNNNNNNNNNNNNNNNNNNNNNNNNNNNNNNNNNNNNNNNNNNNNNNNNNNNNNNNNNNNNNNNNNNNNNNNNNNNNNNNNNNNNNNNNNNNNNNNNNNNNNNNNNNNNNNNNNNNNNNNNNNNNNNNNNNNNNNNNNNNNNNNNNNNNNNNNNNNNNNNNNNNNNNNNNNNNNNNNNNNNNNNNNNNNNNNNNNNNNNNNNNNNNNNNNNNNNNNNNNNNNNNNNNNNNNNNNNNNNNNNNNNNNNNNNNNNNNNAUGUUGACAAGUGUAAGGUGGAGAUUCGGUUCAAAAAGGGCACCCAUCAAUAUUAUCUCAAGCUUUGGAAGAGAGAGACAGAGAGAGAGAGAGGGAGAGAGGGGAGGAGCUGCUCGUGCGACCAGCCCAGACGCCGCCUCCAUCCGCUCGACCGGCUGCCCAUCGCCGGAGUUCGCCACCUCGCCGUCAUGCCGAACCGCCGUUGGCCGACCCCCUCUCCUUCCCUUUCCUCUCCCGUUGCGGUCUCUCUUCUCCAUCUCCCUUGGCUGCUUCGAGACCCAGCAGCAACCAGAGAAGUCCCGUCCGAAGCUGCACGCCAGCCGGAGGUCUCGCCGUUCGCCCGUCGCCGCCGUCGCGCGUCUACCUCGCGCUCGCCCGCGCCUGGCCGCGCGCCGCUCCGCCCGCUUCGCCCAGCUCGUCGCCCCGAGCUGCUGUUUAGCUCGCGCAAGAGCUGCCGGAGCUCAUUCGUCGCCGCCGUGCACCGCCGUUCGUCGCCGCCAGCCACCGCCGUAGCUCCUCCGCCCUUUCCGACCCGAACCGGCGCCGGAUCUACCCUUCCUCGGCCUCAAACCGCCAUGGACAGCAGCUGAAAAAAAUGGGUAUGCAGCGGACGUUUGGCCCGUUUUGGCCGCCUUCCUGAGCCCGGAUGCUCGGCCCGCUUUGAGGAAAGUUGUUCUCCUCGGCGUCCCCGUCGUUUUGGUCCGCUCGACUCGCUAAUCCGGUGAGUUUAGCUCACUAAACCUCGUUUAGAGGGUUAAUUAUGCUUAGGGAGGUUUAGUUUAUGUUAAGUAUUAUUAGGUUGUUAGUUUAGGUUAAUUAAGAGUGGAUUUGGUUAAGGUUGUGGUUUAAUUUAAAGUGUGCUUAAUUAAGGGUAAGUAGGUUUAUUUAAAAUAAGCCUUGAUUUGACUUAAAUAAAUUUACUUUUGAUUUAUUUAAAUGUCUCGAAAUUAUUAUAUGAUUUAAUAAUAUAUUUUAUUCGAAAUUAAUAAAAUAUUAUUAUUUAAUUAUUUUCGGAAUAAAUUUAAUUAUUUAUUAAAUUCCGAAAAUUUUGUCGGGACCCUAAAUUCUCAGAAUUUCGUACCGGUCGCUGCUGUGUAGUCAGAUUUUGAAAUUGAUGAUUGGAUAUUAUAAAUCGAAUGUGGAUUGUGAAAGAUAGGGAUAUUAUUAUUUAAUUAAUUUUCGAAAUAAAUUUAAUUAUUAAAUAAAUUCCGAAAAUUAAGUUGGGACCAUAAAUUCUCAGAAUUUUAUGCUGAUCGCUACUGUGUAUUCAGAUUAUGAAUUUGAUAAUUAGAUAUUUCAAAUUGAGUGAUGAUUUGUGCAAUUAAUUAUCGAAUUGUUGUGUGCUGGUUGAAAGACUCGGGUCGCAGUAGUGGCUAGGCUGACUGGACCUUUGUUCUUAUAGAAAUGCCGUCAGGAGAGUGACGUGGCUCGAGUCGCAGUAGUGGCUAGGCCGACUGGACCUUUGUUCUUAUAGAAAUGCCGUCAUGAGAGUGACGUGGCUCGGGUCGCAGUAGUGGCUAGGCCGACUGGACCUUUGUUCUUAUAGAAAUGCUGUCAGGAGAGUGACGUGGCUCGGGCCGCAGUAGUGGCUAGGCCGACUGGACCCAUGCUCCUUCGGGAAUGCCGUCGACGUAAUGACAAAGCCGCGCUCCAUGGGGGGGAGGCGAUGCCUGGCAUUAGUGUUAGUAGAUAGCCGAACUGCGAGUAGGCUAUGCCAUUGUGUGGCAGUGAAUAAUAAUUGGAAUGUGUGUUAAGUGAGACUGUGAUUUAUAUGAAAGUGAUGACGUUCCAAUUGUUUGAAUUAUUAUUACUACCUGAGAUUGUGUAAUACGAAUUGUGCUAACCUGCAGGGAAGAAUUGAGGCGAGGUAAGUUCUUUGUGUGAUGUGGCUAGGCCACCCUUGGGCGUAUUUUCUUUCUAAUAGGGGUUUAGGGGGUUGAACUUGCUGAGACAUCGUCUCAUCCCGGUUGUGGGAUUAAAAUUUCAGGUCCCUGAUGGACAGAGUGGCCAGAUAGCUUUGGUUGGCAUUGAAGAGUUGCAGAGGUGAAGCGAUAAGAUUGGAGGAUGUGUCCGACUUGUAGGUCGUAGGACAGUUUAUUUUAAGAGCCGGUCUUUUGUAGACUUUUGGCUGUAGGCCUUCGUCUGUAACUCCGUUGGUUUAUGUAAUUGAUUGGUUGUGAAAUUGUUUCCUGCUUUUCUAUCCCGUAUUUUAUUGUCAGGGGUUUUAUAGUACGUUUCGCUUGCGCAAUAAUAAAUGAAUGGGGUUGGCGACACUACCUGGGAAUGUCGCAUUUGAAUGACCAUGGUGGGAUGUUGACGCGCUCGAGGUUCGGGGCGUGACAUCCCUGUUUAAGUGGUAUCAGAGCAUGGUCUGUGUAUGGAGUGAUAAUGUGCAAUGAGUCAUGGGAUAGUUAGUAGGAAAUGCUUUUAAUAUGCUGAUGCAUGUGGUUGAUAGCUGUUUGGUAGCUUGUUUGUGUGGUCGCUCAAAUUUCAACCUGAUGUUGGAAUCGGAAAACAGGUGUCUAUAAGGAACCUGUAAAAUGAGUGACCAGGAGUGGAGAACUCCUUUGGAGGAGGUCGAUAAGACUUGUACCUCAGGGUAGGAUGCUGACAAGAGUUGGUACCUGAGGUAAAGCGCAGGCUUAGACCAGCGCAAGUGUGAGAGUACCGUUGCAAGUCGGUAGUUAGAGUGUAGCAGCACCGAACGAUCUUAGGUCCGUUGAGAUCGUUCAGGCGCUAGUGUCCUUUGGAAGCUUGUUGGGUCAGUAAGCUCAGGAUUGAGCCGUUGCUGUUGCCGUUGUUUCUACCGUUGCCAGUGUUGUGAUCGAUGUUGUUACUGCCGCGCCUGUUGAGGCCUAAUAUGGAGUUGUGAUCGAGGAUCAAGUCUCUGUAUCUGAGUCAAGGUUCAGUCUAGACAGAGAUGAAAAUCGGUUGGAGAGAAAGGCCGAUGUCAGAAGAAAGAUGCCCUGUUUCACCCAACCAGAAGAGUAGAGUUGGAAAGUCAGUGCUCAACUCGAUCGAUGUGUGUCGUGUCUGUAAGAAAAGACAUGGAUUUGUUCCGUGCUGUAAGAGGGAAAUGACUUGUUACAGGUGUCACCAGUAAAGCCAUUUGAUCAAAGAUGGCUCGUAUAGAUGGAUGGAACUAUAGCUGUUUCUGCAUCGUUGUUGAUAAGACAGAACAUGAGAAACAUGCUUCGGGACAUUUAGUGGGGUACUUGGAACAGACCCCAGUGCAAGGAAUGGUGCAUGAUGUCACUUGAUGGGAAGUAGAUGACUCACCGAUUGUGUGCUGAGUUUGUGGAAAAGAGGCUUGAAUCAGCCCAGUGUCGGAGUAAAAAGGGGAGCGUGCUUUGAAUGUGGCCAGCACGGCCAUCGAGUUAGGAACUGUCUGCAUAAGUCCAUGAGAGUGUAAGUACCGCUGCUGCAGAUAGGACGCCACUAGGAUGGCUAGAGGAGCAUGAAGGGAUCGACCAUGCAUCAAUCAGAAGAAGAAUGUUUAUGAGAUGUUUUAUGCAGAGUAAUGCAGUAGAAUUUUCAGUGAAGGUUGUAGGGUUUUCGUUGUGGUAAUAAGGUAAGAGAAAUGUGAAUUUCUGACUAUAGUUGUACUCAAAGAGUUUGCUUAAGUAUGACUUGGAAGUCAUUUAUAAAAAGGUUGGCUCAAGGAGCUUUAUGUUGUUUUGAAUCAUGUUGGUGAUAUAAUUCAGUUUGUUUAGAUAACGUGCGAAAGUUUUGAAUCAUUGAAAGUCGAAGAGGAAUUUCGAUCCUUGUUAUUCGUCACUGAAGAUGACCCGGUUCUGGUUGUUGGUUAUCGAAUCUACAUGGCAGCUGUAAUAGAUGCGUCAGUUGAGGAGCCGAAUAUGGAGAACAUAAUCGUGGUACGUGAGUUUUCUAAGGUAAUCUCUGGAGAAUUGUCAAGUUUGCUGUCAGAAAGAGAAAUAAGGUUCGUGAUUGAAUUAGCACCCGGAACAGAGCCAGUUCUUAAGGCUCCUUACCGGAUGGUGUUACCCGAAUUAAAAGAACUGAAGGUGUAGAUGCAAGAAGUGUUGGAUAGGGGAUUCAUACUGUUGACGCCUAAAAAUUAGUUAGGUUUUAUUUAGCUUUAUUUAACUUUAUUUUAUUUUAUUUUAUCUUUUUCGGAUAAUAAAUAAACAAAUAACAAAAACAAAAAAAAAAAAAUAAAAACAGGAAAAGAAACAAAAAAAAAAGCAUAAGCUAAUAGCCACAAGGGCUGGGCCUUCAAAGCCUAGCCCCUCCCUCUUUUCUUUUCCUUCGCAGGCCCGCAAGGCCCAGCCGCGUGGCUCAGCCCGGCUCUUUCUCCUUGUCUUCUUCCUCCCCUGUCUUCUUCCCCAACCGGAUAAGCAGCACGCGCCGGAGAGGAGGACGUGCGUGACGCCGGAGCAAAACGGAGGAAAAGUAGCGCACGUGGAGCAGGGGGUGGCUGGCGUCGGAUAAGAACGUAGGAGGGGCAGCUGGCGUCGGAUGGGACACCGGUUUGGCCGUCGAAGGCCGCUCGAUGCGCGAAGGGGACCAACGGUCGAGCUCCGUCGACCGGCCACCCCUCGGCCUAUAAAUAGGCCCUCCAUCCCCGACGAAGAGGAGAGACACGGACGCCGAGAAGGAUCGAAGGCUGCAGAUCCUCGAAACCUCCCACUAAGAGACUUCAGACGGGGGGCCGAGGACGAGCAGGCCGAGAUCCGAGAACUCGCGGCCGGAGACGAUGGGGAGAGAUCCGAGUGGGUGGAGGCUGAGCACAGAGAUCCCGGAGAGAGAGAGACGGAGCCGGAUCGAGGUCGCGACCCUUGGACACCCCACUGAGAGACUUCAGGGGGGUCGAGGGCUCGCGGCUUCGGAUCUGGGCUUCGCCGGAGUAGAGAGAGAGAGAGAGAGGGAUGCCGGAGAAGAGAUUCGCUUGGGUCUCGUCGUCGCGCCGCCCCUGUCGCGCCAUUGCCACGAACAGGUAUCGUGAUGUCGCCGUCGCCAUCUCCCUCUUCGUAGUCCAGUCAUCGUUGCCGUCGCUGCCGGAAUGCUCCCGUUUCCCCCCCUUUCGGCGCCGCGGAUUCGCAAACCCUAGGGUUUGCGAUUUCUGGGUCACGAAGCGGAUCCGGGUUUGGAAGGCCGGGUAGGGAUUCUGCGAUUUAAGGGGCGGCGGAAGCCGGGUCGGAUCCGGGUAGGGUUUCACCGGGGGAGCGGGUUGCGAAGUCGGGUCGCGAAUCGGAGUCGGGUCGGGUAGGGUUCGCGGGGAGUCGGGUUGCGGAGCGGGCUGUCGGGCUGGGUUGUCGGGUCGGGCCGGGUGUCCCUAAACACCCGGCCACGACGCCGUUUCAUUAAAUAAAAUAAAAAAAAGAGAAAAAGCCGAAAAAUCUGAGUCGGGCCCGCGUUGUGGGCCCGUCCGCGGGUGGGUCGUUGGCCCGGGUCGGACCCAACCCGCGGAUCCGACCCGGGCCGGUUUUGUUUUAUUAUUUUAAUAUAAAAUAGUAUUCUAAUAAAUAAUAAAUAAAUAAUUUAUUUUAAAAAAAAAUCAAAAAUGUUUUAAUUUCCAAAAAAAUCAAAAAAAUAUUUAAAAAAAAUGUUGAAAAAUGUUUUAUUUUCUAAAAAAUCGAGAAAAAUCAAAAAUAANNNNNNNNNNNNNNNNNNNNNNNNNNNNNNNNNNNNNNNNNNNNNNNNNNNNNNNNNNNNNNNNNNNNNNNNNNNNNNNNNNNNNNNNNNNNNNNNNNNNCGACACAGACUUUCCAGUGCAUCACCGGGGGAACACCUGUUCUAUUCAUGAAGGAUAAAGUUGAUUCAUUGUGUUUGUACGUUGAUAUUCUUUAACAUCGACUUGAGGUUAGGGUAUCAUCAGUUGAGGAUCAGGAAGAAAGACAUCGAAGUUAAGACCUCACACUUGAUACAGUAGUUAUGAGUUUACUGUAAUGCUGUGUGGUUAAUGGACACCCCAGCUGUUUGUUUGGGUCUGAUGAGCAAAAUGUUUAAGGACACUUGAAUCAGUUGUGAUCGUGUUCAUUGAAGUUAUCCUGGUGUGUUCAAAGAGUGCUGAGGAGCAUAAGAGACAUUAGAAGAUGAUACUUCAGACCUUGAGGACUCUUGAAUCUUACGCUAAGUGUAGCAAGGGCGAGUUUUGGAUGACUCGUAUUGCGUUCCUAGGCCAUGUGAUUUCAGGCAAAGAAAUCUCCAUAGACCCCGUCUAAGAUUGAAGCAGGGAACAGUUGGUCGAGAUUGGCUACAGUGACAGAGAUCAGAAGUUCUGGGGAUUAGCAGGACAUUUCAGACAGUUCGUAAAAGGGUUUUUAGCGUUAGCGUUACCAUUGAUAAGACUACUGAGGAAGUAAGAAAAGUUCGUGUGGACAGGAGGGUUGAGAUCUACAGUGAUGCGUCGUUUAAAUGAUUGUGUUAUGUGUUGAUGCAGCAUGAUAGAGUUAUUGCAUAUGCGUCCCAUCAGUUGAGAUCUUGUGAGUUAAAUUAUUGGACGCACAUCGUAGAACUUGCAGUAAUUAAGUUCGUUUGGAAUUUUAGAGGCACUAUCGGUACAGAGGAAUAUUUCAUAUCGUCAAUGACUAUCAAAGUCUUAAGUAUGUAUUCAGUCCCUGUCCAGACCCGGCCUAGAGACCCGAAUCUAGAAAUUUGAUUAGAAAGUUUUUUUCUUGACCUUUUAGUGUAAUUGGUGCCUUGCUUGCUUGCACAUUGGUUGUUUCGCAUGUCUAAUUUGCGUAUUUAAUUACGAGUGUGAAUGUUUAGCUGCAUAUGCUAUAUUUUGAUGUUAACGCGCUCUAAUACUGUCGGGGUUGAAAUGAGAGCUUGUACUCACCGUUCCUUAAGUUUCUGUGCCGCUUUUGGUUGGAUAUUGGAAUUGUAAAGAACAUUUUUCGUGUUGUCGUUUGUGGUUCCUGCUGCCCUUAUUUAGUUUGUCAUGCGUGGAAUUUGUUCAUAUUGAAAUCCUCUAUUGGAUAGGAGCUUUGAAUCUGCAUGAUUUGAACUUUUUGGGAAAUCGUGUUAGCUUGUUAAGUCUGCUUGGAGUUGUCUGAUGUUUAUUUAGUUUCAUUCUGUCAGAUUUGACUCUUGAGUAUUAGGGAUAAAAGACGAGCUCUUGUGAUAGCUGGGCCCGACCCGAUAAUUCUAAGGGAGAGUUUCGUGUUGGUAGAUGUGAAAGAUUGUGUGAUCUCCUUGAUAUAUUACUCCAUCACAUACUUGGCUUCCUUCCAUUGAAAGAACUUAUCAGAACAAGUGUCUUGUUGAGUAGGGGAGGUCCUUAUGAACCUCCCUUCCCAAUCUCGUGUUCAAUGAGUUGAGGUUACCGAUAGAAGGCGUUUUUUGCAAUACGUGGAUUGGGCAUUGUCUUGUCGUGAUUUAUCCCCUGUGAAAUUCAAAAAUGUUCCGUGCAUCAAGACGCAUAUUCCAUAUAUUUUUGGAUAAACUUUGCCAUAAAUCGCAAGGCUAACUCUUAGAGUGAGCUUUGAUUUGUCGAUAAUAUCAGUAUUGCGGUACCUUUAAAACCUUGACAGAAUUCCAUCUGGGAAUAGAGGGCCUUGCUUCCUUCUUCCAUUUGUCUUUCAAAGUUAUGGAUCUUACAUCUUGGACUCACUUUUAUGGAUGAUGGGCCAAUCGGAAGCUUGCUUUCAGUUCCUUGUCUUGAGGAUUUGUGUCUUUGUAAUUGUUGGCAUUUCAAAACCUUACUAUUUCAGCUCUGAAUCUAUUGAGCUUGUUUAUCGAGCAAAGACACCUAAACUUAAGCUCGAGCUCUUUAGCUAUAUUGGUGGGCACUUGUCUGAGUGUGCGAUACGCGAUACUUUUGUGAUAUGUAACGCUCAUUUGAUUUUGGGUGGUUCGGCUGAGGAGAUUUAUGCUUCCUGCGCACAUAAAAGCUUCUAAAGAAUCCGUUUGUUGCGAAACGUCUUUUUCUGCAUUACUAUAUUCUUGAGGUAUAAUAUCAAUCUUAUUUCUUGUAUUUUGGUUGAAGCAUUGCAUUAUGCUUUGUUACAUUCUUGAGGUAUAAUAUCAAUCUUAUUUCUUGUAUUUUGGUUGAAGCAUUGCAUUAUGCUUUGUUAGUCUAAUUAAUGUUUUUUGGAUCUAUUUUCAAGAGAUCAGUUCCUUUCUAGUCUUCUCUUGCCUCAAUAGAUUCCCUAAAACUAAGGAUGCUCAACAAUUGUCCUUGUUUGGUCAGCCUUUUGUCUUUCUUAUUGUUUCCUCUUACUGAAUCUUGUGAUCAAAUAAGGAAGUUAAUCGUUAUGUAAUUGUCAAUUAGGGCUUGGUUGUGGACUCCAAAAACGAUGAAGGAAUACGCUCAAGUUCAUCACGAUUGAAAAAUUUGAUGCCACUGAUGACCAACUCUUAGCUGUGACGAUCAUACUUAGGCUGCCCAAGUUUUGUGGAGGUUUCACAUAAUCUGCUUAGAGCAGAGGUCAGGAUCUUCCGUGAUAGAUCUUUUGGAAAGCAUUCAGCUCCUUCCUAGGAGCUCAAAUCAAUAUUUCAUUUCGCUGUUCCUCUAUAACUUUUAGCACAUUUAGUUAGUUGAUGAGACUCUUGAGAUAGCUAGACUACCGCUUCUUGAGAAGCUAUACAUUGAUAAAAACAAGCUAUUAGUUUUGCCGGUGAGCAGAAAAAUUUGAGAGGUCUUGUUAUCAAGGUAUAACUUCUUAAGAAACAAUAGUCUAGCUAUCUAAAGAGUCUUAUCAACUAACUAAAUGUGCUAAAAGUUAUAGGGGGAUAACGAACUAAACACUUUCCAAAAGAUUUACCACGGAAGCUCCUGCCCUCUAUUCUGAGCAGAUUAUGUGAAGCCUCCGCAAAACUUGGGUAGCUUAAGUAUGAUUGUCACGACUAAGAAUUGGUCUAUCAAAUUCUUAAAUCGUGAGGAACUUGAGCAACGACUGGAAGCACUCGGGCACCGGGUCCAAUAUUCCUUCAUCGUUUUUGGAGUCCACAACUAAGCCCUAAUUGACAAUUACAUAACAAUCAACUUUCACAUUUGAUCACAAGAUUCGGUAAGAGCAAACGGUAAGGACAGAAUAGUUAUCCCACAAAACAAAAGACUGACCAAACAAGGACAGUUGUUGAGCAUCGCAAGGAGUGAUAGGGAAUCUAAUCUCAUCGUGUCAUAAGUGUUGAAUGACAAGAGGUUGAGGUGAGAGAAGACUGGGAAUGAUCUAAUCUCUUGAAAAUGGAUCCAAAGAACACUAAUUAACACUGAUAAAACAUAAUGCAAUGCUUCGACCCAAAAUACAAGAAAUAAGAUUGAUAUUAUACUUCAAGAAUGUAGUAAUGUAGAAAAAGACGUUUCGCAACAGACAGAUCUUUUAAAAGCUUAUGUGUGCGGGAAGCAUAAUCUCCUCAGCCAGACCAUUCAAAACCAAAUAAGCGUCACGUAGCAUAAAAACAUCGUGUAUCGCACACUCACACAGUGCCCACCAAUAUAAGCUAAAGAGAUCGAGCUUAGGUUUAGGUGUCCUUUACUCGAUAAACAAGCUCAAUAGAUUCAGAGCUGAAACAGUUUUCUGAUUGACCCAUUAUCCAUAAGUGAGUCCACUAAGAUGUAAGAUCCGUAACUUUGGAAGACAAAUGGAAGAUGAAAGCAGGGUAAUCUGUUCUUGGAUGGAACUCUGUCAAGGUUUCGCUCCUAAACACGCAUAAAAGUACCGCAAUACUAAUAUUAUUGGAAAAUUAAAGCUGACUCCAAUAGUUUGAACAUUGCAAUUUAUGGCAAAGUUUAUCCAAAGAGUAUAUGAAAGUUGCGUCUUGAUGCACGGAACACUUUAGAGAGAAGGAUUUCAUAGGGGAUAAGUCACAACCAGAUAAUGCUCAAUCUAUGUAUUGCAAGAAACGCCUUCUUUGGGUAACCUUAACUCAUCGAAUACGAAAUUGGGAAGGGAUGCCCACAAGGACCUCCACUUACUCGAUAAGACACUUGUUCUGAUGAGUUCUUUCACCGGAAGGAAGCAAGUCUGUGAUGGAGUAAGGGAUCAGGGAGAUCACACAAUCUUUCACAUCUACCAACACGAAACUCUCCCUUAGAGUUAUCGGGCCCAGCUAUCACAAGAGCUCGUCUUUUAUCCAUGGCUCUAGCUAAUACUCAGGAGUCAAAGCUGACAGAAGGAAACUAAAUAAACAUUAGACAACUAGACUUACAAGCUAACAUGAUUUGUUAAAAAGUUCAAAUCAUGCAAAUUCAAAGCUCCUAUCCCAUAGAGGAUUUCAAUGUGAACAAAUUCUGCGCAUGACAAAUUAAAACAAGGGCUCUUUUGAGCAGGAUCCACGGAUGACGACACAGAAGGAGCUGAACGCUUUUCAAAUGAUCUACCAUAGAAGCUCCUAACCUUUGCUCUGAGCAGAUUAUGUGAAGCCUCCGCAAAACUUGGGCAGCCCUGAGUAUGAUCAUCAUGGCUAAGAGUUGGUCACUGAGUUCAGGUGGCAAAACUAAUAGCUUAUUAACUCUUACAUGUUUUGAAACGUAAAAUUCAUUAUAAAGAAUAUAAGGUGAUCUUUUGGCUCAUUAUUAGUCAUUUUGGUUGUUCAUUGUAAGUAGUAGAAUUGCGACAAUACAUGGAACUCGUAGUGUCGUUAGAGCACAACAAGCUUGUUCAUGGCCUCUUCUUGAUUUCAGGACAGUUUAUUUGCAAAUUCAUGCACCUAACUACUUCAUGCUUUUGUUUCCUUCUCUUGAUAUGAGAACAACUCGUAUUUCUUUGUGUGUGACAUUGCAACUUGAAUUAAUCUAAUGUGGCCCUUCAGUUUAAGUGCAGGGCUAUGGCUGAACUAUGAGUUCUUAGACUAUUUGGGAAUCCUCGAGUUCCUUCCUGAAAUUUUACCACUAAACAGUCUUCACCAUUUGUCUUUGGCAAAGUGGCAUAUGAAAACCUAAGAUCAGUGAAUUGUAUGCUCUUGAUGUACACAAUUAUCUUUGUGAUGUGAGAAGAAAUAGAUAUGUCCCAUCCGAUUGGAGGGUGGAUGUCCUUUAAUCGGAGAUUGGAGAAGGAACAUCAGGUAAAUUUGGUGUAUUAUACUGCAUCAUGGAAUCCAUGGCAGUUUCCAUAUAAUCUAGGGUUAUAGAUGCAGAUCUUUGCUCUAUAACGGUUCUAAAUGUAGCCUGUUGAAAUUGCGGGCUUUGCAGCCUAGUUCGGAAUAUGUGAAGGAUAUCGUUCCGGCACAUAAAUAAAGGGAGGGAAGAAAGGGCCGGCCUCUAUAUGCGAGUAGAAUUUUUCAGUUCUACUUGCAAACUAUUCUUUAUGUGAAUAUAUGAACAUUUUUUCUUGAUGGAUAGCGAGGCCCUACGUGGAAAGGGGACAGUCGACAGAAUCCGAUUGUGGUGGCUGCCGACGAGACUAAAAAGCCUUCGAAAAGUCUGGAAGCUUGUGAAGAAGGGGUACUGCCAGUUUAAAUGACGUUUUCAUAGGCAGGUACCGAACUUCAUGGAAGAUCCCAAUUUGUCACGAUGUCGAUGCAUGGCCGAUUUCUUUCGUGAUUUGAGAGCAGAAGGACGAAGUGUGCAUGUGCUUUUCGGAUUUCACUGCUUUGGUGUCCCUAGAGCUUAUUGGUAUGGUAUGGAAUACUUUCAGGGCGGGCAAUUUUGCGUCAUCAAUGAGGAGACAACCAUAGUUGGAGGAGCAAUGAGCUUGAGCAUGUUAUUUCGGCUGAAAUUAAAAAGGAAAAAAAAAUGCUUAGAAGUGAAGGAGCUGAUGUGAUCAUAAGAUUGAGAUAAUGUGGAAAAGUUAUUGUAAGGGAAAAUGACACAGAUGAUCUUUAAUCUUUGAUUUAAUAGGCGACGUGGUUUCUAAACUUUUAAUUUGCUCGAUGUAGUAUCUGAACUUUGGUCCAAUGUGCAAUGUCAUCCCUAAAUAUUAAAUUUCUUUAAUGUGACUCCUGAACUAUUAGUAAAAGAUCAAUUUAGUCUUUCAACUAUAUGAAGAUAUCUAUUAUUGUUCUUUCGGUAAUUUAAGUUAAUGGAAUCUCUGUGUGGCUUCCAAUAUGUUAUAUUUGAACGGUGGAUCUUAAAAAGGGUUUUGCAUGGAUUUUCCACCUAUAUCGUUUGUCUCAAAUCAAGGAAAGAAAUUGUCAUGUGUAAUAUUUGAAGUUCGUCAUUUACUUAUUUUCUUUUCUAAAGUAAAUGGAUUAAAUGAUAGACAUGCCGACUUAUCAUUCUUAUCAUUCUUAAGCAUGUCAUUUGAGCCAAUAGAAAAACCACAUUGAAAAUUUAUUACUAGUUCGGAACUCACAUUUCACAUAUAAAAAAUUCAGAGACAAAAUUACAUAUCAUAUCAAAAUUCAUGGAUUGUUUAUGUUUGUUUAUGUUGUCACCUCUUAUCGAGACGGGCAGUCUCUUCCCAUUCUUCAUUUCAGCACAGAAAGCAUGGGUAAAAUGAUCUAUGUCGCAAGCUUGAUGGUGUUUAAUUACACAUUAGUGGUCCACUCGUUGCAUGAGAAUACAUGCGUUUUUUUGUGAGAGAGAGAGAGAGAGAGAGAGAGAGAGAGAGAGAUGUAAAAGAAGGAAGCACGCAUCAGGAAUUUUCUGGAUUAUAAAGCAUGAAUGGUGCUUAUGAAAGUGAAAAAUUCAAGACGAACCCUGCUGAAAAGUAACUGUCCGAAGGCACAUUUGCAGCCGAAAGAUUGGUGAAAGCUGUACCGCCUGGAAGUCUGUAAACUUUACAAUGUUUUGCAGUUCGCUGGUAAACAAUGGGUGAUUUCUCAUGUCAAGAGCAUCAAUUAUGAAAUGCCCCACGCUGUGUACUUUGAAAAAAGAGCACCCGACAAAAACUUUUUGUUAUAAUCACCAGAAGAAGAGGACAUCCACUGACCAAAGCAAUCUUCAUUCACAAGCAUCCUCCUCUAAUUGCAUAUAUGAAGCGAGAGGUGAUCGAAUUACUAGGACAAGAUGCAUUUACAGUACAGACUGAGAAGAGCAUACUGCAUCUUUAGCAAUUAAAUAACAUAAGCCAUAAACAAAGAACGGGCAUUGCAUUGGCACCUUUGGUAGUAGCAAAGCAGUCAGUGAUUUACCCCAGCAGUACUCAUAAUGCACUUUGUUCUGGCAAAUGUGGUCGAAAAAUAUCCACUAAAAAAGAUUUGACAAUCCCUCAUAAACAUGCUACGAUUUGGCCACGAACUAGUUAAGGCACGCAUCAAGACAAAAGCCUUAGGUAACAUCGGUUAUCCUUCAAGACAAGGUGACUUUGAUUGAAUGGAGGGACGAAUUCAAAAGGUUUGGAGUAUAACAAUCACAAGUUGAUUGACACAAAUAGCAAAUAGCAAUAUCAUCAUUUAGAUUGAUGCAACAUAUGGCAUAUUAUUCCAUUGGAAGAACUUACCAUGGAAAUCCCCAGCUACCCUAACCCAACAGUGAAUAACCAACCGGAGAGAGUAGCACUAUAAGACUCACGGUAGGUGGCUCAAAGGGAGGCUGCUACUUGAACCUGCACCAAGAGAGAGGUGUAAGAUAUCUUCACCAAAGUCGGUUCACCUUAUAUGGCUUCUAGUCUGUAAAUUGAGAGCAACCGGAACCUAAUGAAUAAUAAGAGGACGUUCGAUAGAAUUCCAAAGUCCUCGUUACUUAAGGCAGCCUUUUCAUUCCAGAAUUGCCAAAGUUGAUUGAUUUUGAAAAAAGUAAAACUUGCCUUCCAUGAUACCAAUGUUUGCUCAUUUUAGAUCAAGCUGCGCUCUUAUUGAAACCAAAUGAAAACAACAAACUAUCUUAUCUUCAUUACUGAGGUAAGCCAGCUUCUACUUCAUCCCACAAAUCUAUAUUUCUAGAAAACCUCUCAUUCACCUGCGUAAUAAGCUCCCUAGCCUCAUCGACCUUGUUGAUACUCACCAACCCAUUGACUAGUGACUUCAUAUUUUCGAAAUUCGGAACCCAACCUUUUUCCACGCUCUCCUUACAAAUCUGCAAAGCGGUAUCGAAAUCCCCUCCGUUGCAAAGAUAGUGAAUGAAGGUGAAAUAACAAUCACUGUUGGGCCGGCAAUCGUGGUUCACCAUGCUCUUAAACAUCUUCUUCGCUUCGUCGUUCCUUUCUUCAUUGCAAAACCCAUGAGUUAAAUGGGCAUACGUCUCCAUAUUCGGCUUCAUCCCCCUCGUCAACAUCCCGUCGAGCAACACCUUCGCCCCAUCCGACUUCCUUAGCUUACACAAGCUCUAAAUCCUGAUAUUAUAAAUACUAACCACCCGAGAGACCCCGUACUUCUGCAUCAAUUCCGAAACAUUCCCGACGUCUUCAUACUUCUCUUCCUAAUAAAGCCCAGCCAACAUGUUCUCAAACUUGUUGAGUUGGGCUUAAACCCCUUCCUAUCCAUCUCAGCUAGCGUCAAGUACACCGAACUCGUCGACCCGGACUCUGAGAAUGCCUUAAUCACAGUAUUGAAAGUCUCCAAAUUAGGCGCUACGAUAUAAAUCCUAAGGAAAUCCAUGAAAAACCUCUUCCUCUCCUUAUAGGGUGCCUUUAGUUGAGCAUUCGCAUGGGGGCUUUCAACCUCUAAAGCUCAUUGGGGAAAUACUGGACUGUUUGGUAGCCAUUUUGAAGUAUCUUUCAAAUGAAAACCAACAUUAGGAAAGCUGAAGGCCUAAUGCUAGUAGGGAUUGGUUUUGAAUUUUCCGUAUUUGGCCAAAUGCUGAAACNNNNNNNNNNNNNNNNNNNNNNNNNNNNNNNNNNNNNNNNNNNNNNNNNNNNNNNNNNNNNNNNNNNNNNNNNNNNNNNNNNNNNNNNNNNNNNNNNNNNAAUGCCAAAUAAUGCUAAUAAAAUCAAAUAUAUAUAAAUGCUAAAAAAAUUAAAUAUAUUUUGGUCUUUUUAAAAAAAUUAUAUAUUUGAUUUUUUUAGCAUUAUUGUCAAAAUAUAUAUUUAAAAAGUUGCAUACAUUAUUUUUUUCAUUUUUAAAAAAAUAAAAAUUAAAAAAUAUCGACGAAGGGUUUGGUUUUUUUAAUAUAUAUAUAUAUAUAUAUAUAUAUAUAUAUAUAUAUAUAUAUAUAUAUAUAUAUAUAUAUCUAUAUAUAUAUAUAUAUUUUAUUUUUUAUAUAUCUCAUAUUCUGUUUUUUUAUAUUUUUAAAACAAUUUAAAAAAUUUCGACAAAGGAUUUGGUCUUUUUUUUUUAAAAGAUAUAUGUAUUUGAUUUUUUUUAGUAUUAUUAUAAGAAUUUAUAUUUAAAAUUUUUCAUACAUUAUUUGUUUAAUUUUAAACAAUUAAAAAUUUAAAAAUUAUGAUGAAGGGUUUGGUCUUUUAAAAUAUAUAUAUAUAUGUAUGUAUUUGAUUUUUUAACAUUAUUGUGAAAAUUUAUAUUUAAAAAGUUGCAUACAUAUUUUUUUUUUUCAAUUUUAAGCAAACAAAAAUUAAAAAAUUCCGAUGAAGGGUUUGGUCCUUUUUAAUAUAUAUAUAUGUUUUCAAAUUUUUUAGUAUUAUUGUUAAAAUUUAUAUUUAAAAAGUUUCAUACAUUAUUUUUUUUUCAAUUUUAAACAAUUUAAAAUUUAAAAUUUCUAAUGAAGGGUUUAGUAUUUUUUUUAUUACAAAAAUUAUAUAUAUAUAUAUAUAUGUAUUUGAAUUUUUAGCAUUAUUUUCAAAUUUAUAAUUAAAAAGUUGCAUACAUUAUUUUUUUCAAUUUUAAACAAAUAAAAAUUAAAAAAAUUUCAGGGAAUGAUUUGGUCUUUUUUUAAAAUUAUAUGUAUGUUCAAAAUUUAUAUUUAAAAAGUUGCAUACAUUAUUUUUUCAAUUUUAAAUAAAUAAAAUUAAAAAAACUAAUAUUAAUCACUCCAAGAGUUUUUCAAAUGUGUUUUCUACCAAACAAUAUUUUUCUCAAAGUUACUUUUCAAAGCAUAGUUUACCAAUCAGCCUUUGCAUUUGCCUAAAGUCCUUUAGGUUAAAUUGCUUUGCAUUUUUCCAACGGGUUUUCAAAAUGCUGAAUCAAACGCACCCAAGUCCUCAACAAUUGAUGGUGUCUUUCCCCAACAAAGUGGAAUAAGAGCUAGCAUUGAUGGAGGAAACCAUUGGCACCAUGCUUAAGUUAAAUGCCUAAGCUUAUUUUAUUUGGACAUCUCAGAUUAAAGACAUUGUCUUGUCAAAAUUUAUAUGAUCACAUCACCGGGGAUAAAGGUGAAGAGAACAAAGAAGAUAAAGAAUGGGAGCGGAUCAAUUUAUAUGAUCACAUCAUAAUUUUUUAUAUCAUGCUCCUCAAGAAACAAAUGUUAACACAUUGCGAAAGAAAUUGUAAGAUGUGUGUAAGAGGGGUUCUCACAAAAUAAAGCAUUUUUAAUUAAGAGAUUUGUAAAUUUGAGAUACAAUGAAUAGAGUAGCAUGUCUGAGCAAUCGACUCAACUUUAUGAUGUUGUAAAUUAGUUGAAAAUCUAAAAAUUGAUCUUGGUGAUGAGUCGUUGACACAGCAUUUUAAAAUUAAUUUUUUUCUCCUACGAAGCUUAUUUAUUUAUUUAUUAUUUUCUUCUUCAAAAUCUUAUUUAAAUUAUAUUAAAAAACUAAAAAGCUAAAAUUUUAAUUUUAAAAAUUGAAAAAAAUAAUGGCAGGGUGCAAGAGGCACCAUCGCUAGCCUUAGGGUAGGGCCCAUGUCGCCUAAAAUUGGGCGCCCUCACCCUUGUUAGGCUUGGGCACCCUCUCCCAGACUGGCAAGGGUCGGCCACCCUUGCCCAUGGUCGACGAUCUUUGUUGGCCCCUUUGGCAAUGGGUGGUAGUGCCCCACUAGCGAGCCCUACUCUUUUCCUUUUUUUGAUUUUUUUUAAAUAUAAAAUUUUAGCAUUUUUAUUUUUAAUCUAAUCUAAAUAAGAGUUGAAGAAGAAAUAACAAAAAAAUCCAUUUGAGAGAGAGACAUUAAUUUAAAGAUGCUAUAUAUGCAUUUUUUGUUGGAUGUCAACGAAGAAUUUGAUUAUACUAAUUUAAUAAGUUUUCGUAUUUGAUUACACUUUUUGAAAUUUUUAGGACUUAAUUGUACUUUCAUGACAAGUUUAUGACUUAUAGUGCACUUUAGCGAAAAUUUUUAUGUGAAUUAAAUUUAAUAGCCAUUGGAAUGGAAUAUAUGGAACUAAAUUGAGUCAAAUUGAUCUAACAAAAUUGUCGGGAAAUGAACUGAUUGAAUGCUUAUAUUCUUGUGAUUUAUAUCAUGCAUAACGUUACUAAAGCCAUGACCUUUCUUGCUUCUUGUUCGAUGCCUCUGUUAUGGGAGACUUGUUGCGACCCUCUGAAUAACCUUUUGCAUCUGCCUAGUUGGUUUAUCCAUAAACAAGUGGUAGGUUAGGGCUGAGGCUCAUGGAUUUCUUAUGUAAAGCACUCUUGACCGAAGACACAAAUGACUGAACCAUUAAGUAUGUCUUUGAGGCAACAUUAAUAUCGGAAAGAUAUUGGGUCCUUUCCUACAUCGAACAUCCCCUUUGUUUCGCGCCUUUUCUCUGAGGCUAUUGAAUUGCAUUUGGUUCUUUAGGUCAUGCAUCUUUCAUUACAAUGUUUGAACCUUGAUCGAUCUUUUCUUAGCAAUCGGCAUGGAUAAUUUAUUCUUUCAUAACGGCAUUCGACAUUCCUAUGCAUUUCAGUGGAAGGUGGUUGUUUUCUAGUUUUCUUCUUUAUACUUUCCCCUUAGUGAGAUCAAAUUAUUUAGGCGAUUG
rnacentral:lncRNA from 1 species